rnacentral:rRNA from 1 species
GACGAACGCUGGCGGCGUGCUUAACACAUGCAAGUCGAACGGAAAGGCCCUGCUUUUGUGGGGUGCUCGAGUGGCGAACGGGUGAGUAACACGUGAGUAACCUGCCCUUGACUUUGGGAUAACUUCAGGAAACUGGGGCUAAUACCGGAUAGGAGCUCCUGCUGCAUGGUGGGGGUUGGAAAGUUUCGGCGGUUGGGGAUGGACUCGCGGCUUAUCAGCUUGUUGGUGGGGUAGUGGCUUACCAAGGCUUUGACGGGUAGCCGGCCUGAGAGGGUGACCGGCCACAAUGGGACUGAGAUACGGCCCAGACUGCUACGGGAGGCAGCAGUGGGGAAUAUUGCACAAUGGGCGGAAGCCUGAUGCAGCAACGCCGCGUGCGGGAUGACGGCCUUCGGGUUGUAAACCGCUUUCGCCUGUGACGAAGAGUGAGUGACGGUAAUGGGUAAAGAAGCACCGGCUAACUACGUG